UGUUUAAUGAUUAUACUGUCAUUUUAUGGUAAAAGUAAAUGCUUAUUUCCAUUUUUUAAUAUAAUAUUAUGACAAAUUUUGCUAUGUUUAUAUAGAUUUUCCUCAAAU